rnacentral:rRNA from 1 species
AGGAUGAACGCUGGCGGCGUGCCUAAGACAUGCAAGUCGAGUGGGUUUAGACCCACGGCGAACGGGUGAGUAAUACCUAGGAACUUUUCUCAAGUUGAGGAUAUCCUCCCGAAAGGGAGUGCAAUACUCAAUGUGGCAGCAAUGCUAAAGUCGCAAGACGCUUGAGGUGAGGCCUGGGCACCAUCAGCUAGUUGGUAAGGUAAUGGCUUACCAAGGCUUUGACGGUUAGCGGAUCUGAGAGGAUGACCCGCCACACUGGGACUGCGACACGGCCCAGACUCCUACGGGAGGCAGCAGUUUGGAAUUUUGGUCAAUGGGGGAAACCCUGAACCAGCGACGCCGCGUGGACGAAGAAGGUUUCGGAUUGUAAAGUCCUUUAGCAGGGAACAUUUGAGCGUACCUGCAGAAUAAGAGGUUGCUAACUCUGCGCCAGCAGCCGC